AUCAAAUAUUCCAGCUCAAGUUCACAGAAGCUACAUUCUCAAACCAUCCACAAGGGCACUUGCCUAUACUCAGUGUCAUCAUUCCAGAUUUCGUGUAAUUUUUUUUAAAAAUUUCAUUUGGCCCACCUUUUAAUUUAAACAGAAAGCUCAAGAAGCAGAGAAGGCAUUCAUGAGAGAAAUGAAGGCACAAAGCCACUCAGCAUAAGAGAUCCAAGAUAAGGAAACGGGUCCGCGUAGGUGGCGUGAUCUGCCCAGCAUCAUGAGGCAAAAUGGUAGCAAAGCAGGACCAAAGGCCAUCUUCCUGACUCUGAAUCCACAAGACUUUUUAUUCACCUUCCUUGCCUUGUGCAGAAACAGCCCCUGUCCUCUGAAGCAUAUGCUCUGGUAGUGAAAUACCAAAGAGAUGCAAUCACUA